rnacentral:rRNA from 1 species
AACGAACGCUGGCGGCAGGCUCAACACAUGCAAGUCGAACGAGAUCUUCGGAUCUAGUGGCAGACGGGUGAGGAACACGUGGGAACAUCCCUUUCAGUUCGGAAUAACGUUGGGAAACUAACGCUAAUACCGGAUACGUCCUUCGGGAGAAAGAUUUAUCGCUGAAAGAUUGGCCCGCGUCUGAUUAGCUAGUUGGUGAGGUAACGGCUCACCAAGGCUACGAUCAGUAGCUGAUCUGAGAGGAUGAUCAGCCACAUUGGGACUGAGACACGGCCCAAACUCCUACGGGGGGCAGCAGUGGGGAAUAUUGGACAAUGGGCGCAAGCCUGAUCCAGCCAUGCCGCGUGAGUGAUGACGGCCUUCGGGUUGUAAAGCUCUUUUGUCCGGGAAGAUAAUGACUGUACCGGAAGAAUAAGCCCCGGCAAACUUCGUGCCAGCCGCCGCGGUAA